AGAAAUCUGCCCGAAGAGCGAAUCACGUGACAUUUGUGUUGUGUGUGAACUCGUUUUCACUCUCAGUCAGUCGUAGGCAGUCGUUGGCGGACAAAGGAGGACAAAGAACGAACACAGGAAGGAAGCUUGGGAGCAGAGAGACUGUAUUCCCAUGGAAAUGUGAAAUCAUGCCAGACCUUUAGUAGGGACAGUGAGUGAGCCAAACAGGGUGCAAGUCCUUCUGUAUGUUCCCUGCCUUCAAUCUUCUAGACCUCUACUGCUGGUGUCUUCUGUUCUUUUGGUGCAGACAGUGUUUGGAGAGACUGGCAAAAAUGACAUGAAUAAAACUAUAACAACAACAAUUAAGCAACAUCAGAUCAGCUAAUUCAGAUGCUAAACUACCAGUAGUUGCUGGAAAUGUGAGACAGAGUUGGCAUUGAAUGAAUAACUUUCAGCUGGAUCUUGUCUGGAACUUUCUGGAGUUCAUUUGAACCACAUCUGUACAGUCAAUACUAUAAUUCAGAUCUGUCGUAGGGUUCAUGGAGGUCAUAGCCAACAUAAUACAGAUGCCCCUGUUCCAAGAUUCAUUCCUGCAAACCAAGACCAAACUGAUGGAUAAAGUAUCGGCUAAUUCAUUUGUGUCCCUUGCUUGAAGCUGCUUCCCAUGGAACUUUUUCACGAAGUCAUUGACUGUCAAAGUGGCAUGAAGACGGAAUGCACUGAUCAGACCAAGUUUCUCGCUGUUUCCUGGCAGCCAAUGGAAGAGUCGAGAAUACCAGUGCAAGUCAAGUGUUGAAUUUUCCACAAAAUAGCGAGUCAAGUGUUGAAUUUUCCACAAAGUAGCACAGAUUCCGAGCAUUGUUUCUCUCUGGUCAGAAAAAAAAAAUCAGAGAAAUGACUUAUCAAUGAUAUAUUGCUGUCUGUUAGUAAUGAUUGAUCGCAGACUAAAUGCUACCAUGGGUCUACUGGCAAGCUGGAAAGAUACAAAGAUAAAGAUGAUUUAUUAAACUUACUGAACAUGACAUCAGAGAAUAUUCAGUUGUGAAAGUGAAAUAGGCAUUAAUCUGGCAUAAAAGGAUAAAAUUGCUUAAAUUUAUUAGAUUUAUCACUUUUUGUAUCAUAAUUUGGAAUUUUCAUUUAUAUAAUAAUAUUACAUUAUCUUACAAUAUUUUACAUUAUCUUACAUUAUUAUUGAAAUUAUAAAAUUUAGUUCUAUAUAAAUGCAAUCAAAACUUAAUAAAAUAAGAAAAAGAAAAAACUUAGUCGGACAAAUGGUAAGAGCUCUUAGAGAUGAAAUAAUGAGAGAAAAAAUAAAAAAGGCUGCCAACAGAGAAAUGUAUAGUGAAAUUUAUAAACCAAUUAUAGAAGGAAUAGAAAGUCAAAAAGAAAAAUUGUCAAGAGAAUUAAAACGUUUACCUGCAAUAAAACAACAAUUAGAAUCACUCAGUGAUGAAAUAAAUGACAUACAAACAUAUCAAGGCUUACCUCAGCUAUUCCAAGAACCGCAACCAAUUACAUGGUCUCCUGAAGAACUGGCGAGGAAAUAUAAAAAUACAGGGAAAUAAGCAAAGAACCUACUGAAGAAGAAAUUAAAAAAGUACUGGAAGAUUAUAAAAGAGAAAAAAUGAGGAUAACAGAAAAACCGUUACCACCAGAGAAUAUAAUGACAAAAGAAGAGAUUAGUAAAUUAUCAAAAGAAGAUAUUAAUAAAUUAGAAGAAAACUAUAUACCAAUAUAUAAUGAAGAAGGAUCUAUUAGAUUAUUAUCUAAAGAAGAGGUGAAAAAACUAGGAGUUAAAGAAUUUCCUGAAGAAUUAGAAGAAUUGGGAGCAAGACCAAAAGAAUUUAAAGUUGAUUUUAAUCAAGGAAUUGAUUUAGAUCUUAUAGAUGAAAAAUAUAAAACACCAAUAGAAGUGUUUGACUUGUUUCACAGCAAAUCUAAAGAUCCAAAUGAAAAAAUGACUAGGGAAGAAGUAGAGAAUAUCAUAGAAAAUGUAUCAGAGGAUAUAAGAAAAUUGGGUAAUGAAUCUGGGGGAAUAACUAGAACGAUAAAUCCCACAAAACCCGAGCUGAAGCAACAGGAAGCAAUUAUAGCUAAGUCAAAUAAUUAUAAAAAAAGUUAGAGAAGUACUCAACGAUAUUCUUAAACAAGGAAAAUAUAUGGGAAAAGAAAUAAGAUACCAUAAUCGAAAACAAAGUUUUUUUUAAAGAACCAAAGGUUCUGAAUCCAUAUAAAGUUUUACCAAAUGGACAAUAUGGUAAUUUAUUGAUUGAUCUUAAUAAACUUUAUGGUCAAAACAAAUUGAUUGCUAAGGAUCAAAAAACUGGAAAAGAAGUAAUUAACACUAAAGUAGAUAAUGAUUUAAUUGAUUUGAUUAAUAAGAGAUAUAACAAUACUAAAAAACAUUCAAUACUUUCUAGGAAAAUAUUUAAAGAAUUAACAGAAAAAUCAGGAUUACCUAUCAAUAAAAGAUCUAUGAAAUUUAAAAAAGUAAUUAGGGGUCAAGGUUACGAAGUUUGUCUAUGCAAUCCAGAAGAACUGGUUAAUAACUUAGAGUUAAUUUGUGGUUCAAUUGAUUCUGGAAAUAAUAAUGAAAAACUAAAAAAUGAAGGUCUUAGCAUAAUUGAUGAACUAUUAAAAAUAAAUAAUUGUUACCAAAAGAACAUGAAAUGUUAUAUAAAAAACAUUUUUCUUAAAUAUAUAAAUGGAACAAAAAAUAGUAUUAAGUUCUGAGGCAGUUAAAAACAACACUAAAAAUACUCCAAGCGAUUUUACAGUUAGAUUCAGUCGUUCUUUACUUUUAGAUAAAAAUAAAACUUAUAUUAUUGGUUUGGAUAGUAUUAACACUAUGACUUACUCUUGGCAUAAUAUUAGUGAUGAAUAUGAUAAUAAAAGAAUUCGUUAUAAUAAUGGUAAGGAUUGGAAAGAUGUUAUUUUCCAAAAUGGUUCUUACAGUUAUACAGACAUUAAUAAUUAUAUCAGGGAAACAUUAAUAAGCAAUGGUGAUUUUGAAUUUGAUAAAUCAAACAUUGCCCCUAUAAGUUUGGAAUUUGAUUUAAGUAGUUUUAAGAUAUUAAUUUCAAUUCAUGAUAAUUUUACAUUGGAUUUAAGAAUGACAAAUUUUCAUACAUUGCUUGGAUUUGAGAAAAAAGCUUUGAGAAAUACUGAAUGGGGAACUACAACACCAAAUAUAACUAACUCUGUAGAUACAAUUUAUAUUCAUUGUGAUCUUACUGAUAAUACACUUGUUGAUGGUAAUUUUAGUGAUAUUAUCUAUGCUUUAAGUACUGCAGAUUUAGCAAGAGCUUAUCCGUUUACAAAAGAACCAAACAGAGUCGGAUAUUCUGAAAUUAAUAAAAAUGUUAUUAAUUCAAUAAGAAUAUAUAUUACAGACGUAUUUGGUAGAAUAAUUAAUUUUAACGGAGUUGAAACAAGUUUUACAUUAAUUUUAAAAGAAAUAUAAAUUAUGAAAUUAUAAAAUUUAGUUUUAUAUAAUGUACAAAAAAGUUUAUGAUAAAAAUAAAGGAAUAUUUAUUUAUGUUAAUCCUUGGAACGUAGAAGAAAUUAUACAAGGUAGACCUGCGGUCUCCGGAGAUUCCAUCUCUGGUACAGGUAUCUUAGACACUUUAACAAAAUUAAUUCAAUCUUCUGUUGCAUCCUCAAUUAGCACUGCUGGAAAAAAAGCUCUGGAAACUGCAGGAAAAGCUGCAUUUGAAAGUGGAACCCGCAGGAUUGGAACGGAAGUUGGAAAUUUAGCUGCUAAUAAAAUUACAGAGAAAAUCAAAAGUUUUAAAAAACCUGUAACACCUGCUGUUGAUAAUUUAAUUGCUAAGGAAUUACAAAAAACAAAUUAUAGUAAAAAUAAUAAUGAAGAGGAUAUUAAUAUAAGAAUAAAUAAAUUAUUGUCGGGUUCCGGAGCUUCAGCUCAGCGUAAGCGUAUUAAUAGAUUAAUUUAUAAACAAGAGGGCCAAGAUGGCCCUAGGUCGCUCACCUGAGAAACACACCAUAAUACACCAUAACAGUGUAAACAUAGACCUAGUGAUUGCAUGGAAAAAAAUAUUCUGACCAAGUAUCAUUAAAAUUGGAACAAACACAAGUAUUUCUUUUAUUUGACCUAGUGACCUAGUUUUUGACCCCAGAUGACCCAUAUUCAAACUUGACCUAGAUUUGAUCAAGGAAAUCAUUCUGACCAAAUUGACCAAUAACCAAACUCUACCUGAAUUUUAUCAAGGCAAUCAUUCUGACCAAAUUUCAUAAAGAUCAAUUGAAAAAUACAGCCUCUAUUGCAUACACAAUGUUUUUCUUUGAUUUGACCUAGUGACCUAAUUUUUGACCCAAGAUGACCCAUAUUCAAACUUGACCACGAUUUUAUCAAGGCAAUCAUUCUGACUGAAUUUCAUGAAGAUCAAUUGAAAAAUAUAGCCUCUGUCGCAUACACAAGGUUUUUCUUUGAUUUGACCUAAUGACCUACUUUUUCAACCCAGAUGACCCAUAUUCGAAGUUAACCAAGAUUUCAUCAAGGCAAUCAUUCUGACCAAAAUUCUUGAAGAUUAAUUGAAAAAUACAGCCUCUAUCGCAUACACAAGGUUUUUCUUUAAUGUGACCUAGGUUUUGAUCCCAGAUGACCCAUUUUCGAACUCGGCCUAGAUUUCAUCAAGGUUAUCAUUCUGACCAAAAUUCAUGAAGAUUACUUGAAAAAUACAGCCUCUAUCGCAUACACAAGGUUUUUCUUUGAUUUGACCUAGUUUUUGAUCACAGAUGACCCAUUUUCGAUCUCGGCCUAGAUUUCAUCAGGGUAAUCAUUCUGACCAAAAUUCAUGAAGAUUAAUUGAAAAAUACAGCCUCUAUCGCAUACACAAGGUUUUUCUUUGAUUUGACUUAGUGACCUAGUUUUUGACCCCAAAUGACCCAUUUUCGAAUUCGGCUUAGAUUUCAUCAAGGUAAUCAUUCUGACCAAAUUUCAUGAAGAUCAGUUGAAAAAUACAGCCUCUAUCGCAUACACAAGCUAAAUGUUGACGGACAGACGACAGGCAGACGCCGGACAUCGAGUGAUCAGAAAAACUCACCUGAGCAUUGCUCAAAAGAAAAUAAUAUAUAAUAUACAUGUUUAGAACAAAACAGUAUUGUGAAAGAUAUGAACUAACUCCUAUUCAAUCAGAUACACCUUUAAUUUCUAUCUUGCGAAAUAAUGUUUAAACAGCAAAAAAGUGGAUAUCAUUUUACAAUUAAUGAUAGAAGUUCAUAUUUUGAUUGGUUUAAUGGUUAUUUUGAAGUAAGUUUUAAAGUUCAUAAACUUGCUGAUAAUAAUAAUUAUGCUGAUGGAGAUCAAAUUGCUUUAAUUGAUAAUGUAGCUUCAAUAAUAGAUCAACUUAUAGUUAAACAAAAUGGAAAAAUUGUCUAUGAUUGUAAUAAUUUAUACAAGGUAAUUAACUUAAAAAAAUUAGUUGAACUAUCUAAGGAUUAUGCAGAAUCAACUGAACCAAAUGAAUUUAUUUAUUUAGAUACUUCUCUUGGUGCUGAAAGUAGGGAUGACCAAGAUGGAUAUAAUAAAGGUUUUGAAAUUAGAAAGAAAUUAAUCGAAGGUGGUAAUAGUGUCAAUGUUAAAAUUCCGUUAAAUAAUUAUUCAUUUUUUCAGGGUUUAGAACAAAACAAAUUACCUUCAAGUCAAAUCCAAAUAACAUUACAAUUAACUAAUGAUGAUAAAUUAAUUUACAGAGCUAAUGCUGCCGAUGCGGGUAGAGUAAUUGUAACUAAAUUAAUUUUGUGGGUUCCACGUUUAAUUUUCUUAAUGUUUAUCGAAUUAAUUUAAUUUCUGAAAGAUAUACAAAAGCAAGGUGGAAAUAUCUGCGUGAAAUGCUGACACAAUUUGCAGACACCCAGCAGGUUAAUAUGUCUUUUAGAAUAACAGCUGGUGUAACAAAGCCCGAACAUGUGUUUGUUUAUUUACUACGGCCUAAUAAAAGUAAUUCACAAGAGCAUAACCCACAUUUAUUAGAUACAUUUAGACUUAAUGCAGCAGAUGAUAACUGUAAGCUGGAAUCUUGUCGUCUUGAUGUUGGUAAUGGUGUUUUUUAUCCAGAAACGGAAUAUACAAGUAUAUCAAGAAUUUACGAUGAUGUUCUUAAUUAUUUUCAUAAACAAAUUAAUAAAACCACUGGAAAUCUUUUAAAUUUAUCAAAUUUUCAAAGUUUGUUCGGGUUUGUUCAUUUUAACUUAGAAUUUAAAAAGGAAUUGCAGAAGAUCCUAAACAUAUUGCAUUAACAGUUAAAUUAAAUACACUUCCCACUGCAAGGUACCGUGUUUACGCAAUUGUAUUGUACGAAGAAACAGUUGAAAUAAAUACUAUUGGAAAGGAACUUGUUAUUGUUUAAAUAAAAUAAAUUUUAAAUAUAUAAUGACAUCAAAUUAUAUUGAAUAUAAAGUAGAUUUAACAGAUGAACAGAAAUUUUUUUUAGCACAAGCUUAUAACAACAAAAUUCCACAUACUUUUAGAUUAAAAUAUGAACAGUUGCGUGGAAACUUUCCUUUACUUUUAACAAAAACACAGAUUAGGAAUAAGAAAGGAUUAGAAAUUACAAUUUCAAAAAAACAAAUGUCCAGUCAAGGUCAAAAUGGAGGGUUCUUAGGUGCUUUAGCUGGAUUAAUAGGAAAAACAAUUCUUCCAAUGGCAGCAAAAAUAGCUCCAAAAAUAUUAGGGCCGUUAGGCGUUGGUGCUUUGUCUGGGCUUGCCAGUACUGGUGUCAAUAAGUUACUUUGGAAUGGUAUGGUUUCGGUAGCUAAUAUGAUGAAAUAUGAUAACACGAUAUCUUACACCUAAUCAAAGAAAACAUUUAAGGGGAACUGGUGUAAUUACAUUAACUCUAAAAACAGAAACAAAACGGUGAGUUUUUGGGUAUGUUCACGGCUAGUCUCGGAAUACCUUUGAUUACAUCUUUGUUAAGUGGUAAGGAACAAGGUCAGGGCAUACAGAUAGAUUCACAAAGAAGACCUUACAGACGAAUUCCUAUUAUAAAAAAAAAUUAUAAUCAAACCAAUCUCUAACUUUGAAAUUGAACAAUGGGUAAAACAAUUAAAAACUUUAGGGGUGUAUUUAGUAGAAAUAAUCUACCAAAAACAAAAUGGAGAAAAACUGAAUGCGGAAUAAUCAAUUUAGAUGGUUCUGUCGGAUCUGGAACACACUGGGUAUGUUAUGUAAAUAAAAUAUACUUUGACCCAUUCGGACUUCCUCCACCAAAGGAAAUAGUCAAAUAUAUACCUGAAGUAAAGUAUAACAACAUAUAAUAUCAAGACAAAACAAGUGUAUUAUGUGGUUAUUAUUGUUUAUUUUUCAUGAAAAUGUUACAAGAUGGUAUAAACAUUUAUGAUUUAUUGUAUAAAAUACUAAAAGUUAACAAUACAAAACAAAAUGAACAAACAAUCAUAAAUUAUUUCAAUGAAAAAGGUUGAAAUCUAUUUUUAAUCAAAUUAAUGUCAAAUUGUGUUAAAAACGUUAUAUUCUAUACUACUAACAAAAUGUGACAAAAAAACGUUAUAUUCUAUACUACUGUCAAAAUGUGGUAAAAACGUUAUAUUCUAUACUACUCCAAAAACUGUCUUAUACAGUUAUUUGUUUUACUUUUUUAUGGGGAGGAUGUGUUGAUUUCUACAUCUAUAUCACUUUUGCUUCAAAGUAGAUACUCAAUUUCGUUGAUUCGUUCUUUUUUGUAGUUUCAUUUG